UUCCCUCCUUUCCCCAUCACCAGACUGCCACACAAAAACUAUACACCUGUUCCCACUUCCCUCAUCAGCACUGCAGUUACCUGGCCUACUCUGCCCACUCAUCAACUGCAACUUAUGCUGCGUUUCAGGCAACUCGGUAAUGUCCAACCUCCAACUACAAAAAAGCACUAUGGAACGGCACUUGAAGUUGAAGUUCUUACUUGUGAACUCGGAGGAAAAAUAUGUACCCCGACUUCACGAGAAGCAGCUGAAUGACGUCACACAACAAUGGCAGCUCCCAUGGAAGCACACAUUGUAAAUGGUCAUCAAAGUUGCCAUGAGCCUAGUUGCCUUGCUGGUGUUUGCAUUUGAGUUUUCGUUUCCUGGACCUGCAUCUGACUGCCAGCCCACUGGUCUGCCAGUUUGCCUACCUGUACCUGCCUGCCUGCCAACACCUGCCUGUAAGCUCAUUCAUGAACAAUAAAUCAUUGAACUGCA